rnacentral:rRNA from 1 species
UACAGAGGUCCCAAGCGUUGUUCGGAUUCACUGGGCGUAAAGGGUGCGUAGGUGGUCGGGUAAGUCUGAUGUGAAAUCUCCGAGCUUAACUCGGAAAUGGCAUUGGAUACUAUUCGGCUAGAGGGUUAGAGGGGGGACUGGAAUACUUGGUGUAGCAGUGAAAUGCGUAGAUAUCAAGUGGAACACCAGUGGCGAAGGCGAGUCCCUGGAAAACUCCUGACACUGAGGCACGAAAGCUAGGGGAGCAAACAGG